CGGCAGCAUCGUUCAGCAGCACAGCUAGCGAGUCACACUCAGCCGUAACGUCUAAGCUUUUCUCUCCAUCAAGUUCACGUCUAAAUUCUACACGCACAAAGAAUGACGACUGAUCAAACCACAGCCAACGCUAAUACCGGUACAGUUUUACCGAAAAUGACGUCAACUGGAAUGAGCUUCUUGCUCCGGCUCCCAUGGGCAUCGCUGUUAUGAGCCAACUGCUGAUUUGUUCAUCUCGAGUACGCGAUUUCAAAAUCUGCAAUAAUAAUCGACAAAGAGGCGAUCUCUUUGAUGAAACACCCCGAGAGUUUCCGCACAACUUUGGUGCAAAUCACAAACGAAUGCUACGACGCCUUCAUGAAAGCGCACAUCAACAUGGAAAGGAUUGAGUUGAAGACGGAAAAGGUGCCUGAUUACAUCAGAGAUUGCAUCAAGUGCAAUGAAAGUGGAAACAAAAAGGUUGUACAGAAAUGACUGCCAAAACGACUUGACCGAAUCAAGGAAGUUGCUACAGGCGGACAGGAACUCUCAAAGAAAGUCUGCGAUACUUUUGAUAAAUUGGGACAGCUGAUUCGGCAGGUUAUUACAGCCUUUGUGAAAACCGUGGGUGAUCACGAGAUUGCCGACACGAUUGGAAAGAAGACUAAGCAUGUAAAAAAGCCAAAAAGGAAGAACAAGAGAAAUUAAAAAAGGGAAAUUGAAAAAGCGAACGCAACUGUAAGAGAAAAGCAGAACUACUUGGACGGAAUUGGCGAACUUAAGUGGGAUUUUUGGCUGCGACGGAUUGGCUGCGAGAGUAAGAUAAAUCAAUUGUCUACGCCCAACAAAUGAAAGAAGAAGCCGAAAACAAAUUGAAGGAACUGAAAGCAGAAAAAGAAGUUUGUGAGAAGAAUAUCGACAAAAUACUUCAAGACAAUAUAGAAAGG